rnacentral:rRNA from 1 species
AGAACGAACGCUGGCGGCAGGCUUAACACAUGCAAGUCGAGCGCCCCGCAAGGGGAGCGGCAGACGGGUGAGUAACGCGUGGGAAUCUACCUAGCUCUUCGGAAUAGCUCCGGGAAACUGGAAUUAAUACCGAGUACGCCCUACGGGGGAAAGAUUUAUCGGAGUUAGAUGAGCCCGCGUUGGAUUAGCUAGUUGGUGGGGUAAUGGCCUACCAAGGCGACGAUCCAUAGCUGGUCUGAGAGGAUGAUCAGCCACACUGGGACUGAGACACGGCCCAGACUCCUACGGGAGGCAGCAGUGGGGAAUAUUGGACAAUGGGCGCAAGCCUGAUCCAGCCAUGCCGCGUGAGUGAUGAAGGCCCUAGGGUGUAAAGCUCUUUCAGUGGGGAAGAUAAUGACGGUACCCACAGAAGAAGCCCCGGCUAACUUCGUGCCAGCAGCCGC